CACCGCGGUUAUACGAGGGGCCCAAGUUGAUAUUUUCCGGCGUAAAGAGUGGUUAUGGAAUAUAUAAACUAAAGCCGCACCCCUUCAAAGCUGUCAUACGCACCCGAAGGACAGAAGCCCAACCACGAAGGUGGCUUUACAACCCCUGACCCCACGAAAGCUAUGGCA
rnacentral:rRNA from 1 species